rnacentral:sRNA from 1 species
GAUGAUGAAUAUCUUAGGGAGCCAGUGCAAACGCAACAGUUUUGUAGGGCAUAUUGGAUGUGUAAUCAGGUAGCCUCACAGGUCUGUUGCGUGUGCUUUUAUUUGACGGAUUCUAACUGAAUUGGUAGCACAUGAACCCCAUAAUAAUGAACAGGUUACAGCUUAAGCUGGGAUAUACCUUUACAC